CCUACGGGUGGCAGCAGUGAGGAAUAUUGGUCAAUGAACGAGAGUCUGAACCAGCCAAGUAGCGUGAAGGAUGACUGCCCUAUGGGUUGUAAACUUCUUUUAUAUGGGAAUAAAAUGUUCCACGUGUGGGAUUUUGUAUGUACCAUAUGAAUAAGGAUCGGCUAACUCCGUGCCAGCAGCCGCGGUAAUACGGAGGAUCCGAGCGUUAUCCGGAUUUAUUGGGUUUAAAGGGAGCGUAGGUGGAUUGUUAAGUCAGUUGUGAAAGUUUGCGGCUCAACCGUAAAAGUGCAGUUGAAACUGGCAGUCUUGAGUACAGUAGAGGUGGGCGGAAUGCGUGGUGUAGCGGUGAAAUGCUUAGAUAUCACGAAGAACUCCGAUUGCGAAGGCAGUUCACUGGACUGCAACUGACACUGAGGCUCGAAAGUGUGGGUAUCAAACAGGAUUAGAUACCCGAGUAGUC
rnacentral:rRNA from 1 species